CUUCUGCAGUUUUAUUCGAAUUCUCUAUACUUUUAUUAUUAAUAUCGUAAUCAAGCUCUUUAUUAAGUCUAUUAUGACUUAAGAUAUCCAACAUAUUGUUUGCAGGAGAUGAUCGAUCAUUUACACUUUCCGUAGAUAAGUAUAAUACAUACGGUUUCAUCAUUAUUAGUCAUUCUCUUGUGAGUUUUUAAGUGACUCUUCAGACUGUGAGGUGUAGUGAAAGAUCGUUUACAGUUUUCGUGGAAUAAGGGCACGUUUACCACAAGCUCGCAAUAAUCCUCAAAUGGAAUAUAUUUAAAAUUUAUAUAAAUUGCAUACACAGGUGGGCGAAGACAAUCAGUAAUCAACGAGUAUAGGUACGACUGGAUGGACGACCUCGAUCGCUGCUAACCAUAUUUGGGUCUCCCAAGAACCAAAUAUUGUUUAACUCCAAGAAAUCGAAGGUAAAUAUAGCUGUAAAUGUUGCAAGUAUUGUUCGUUAUUGUUUCUUAUGAUAUAAAAUUGAGAAAUAUAAAGGAAAGAGAAUCGAUUAUUUUGGCUUACGAAGGAUUAUCUUCGUGUAUCAUUAAUCGACAUCCUG